GAACUAUCCAAAGAAUUAACCAAACGAG
rnacentral:piRNA from 1 species